rnacentral:rRNA from 1 species
GCCUGAUCCAGCCAUGCCGCGUGUGUGAUGAAGGCCUUAGGGUCGUAAAGCACUUUCGCCAGAGAUGAUAAUGACAGUAUCUGGUAAAGAAACCCCGGCUAACUCCGUGCCAGCAGCCGCGGUAAUACGGAGGGGGUUAGCGUUGUUCGGAAUUACUGGGCGUAAAGCGCACGUAGGCGGACUAGUCAGUCAGAGGUGAAAUCCCAGGGCUCAACCCUGGAACUGCCUUUGAUACUGCUAGUCUUGAGUUCGAGAGAGGUGAGUGGAAUUCCGAGUGUAGAGGUGAAAUUCGUAGAUAUUCGGAGGAACACCAGUGGCGAAGGCGGCUCACUGGCUCGAUACUGACGCUGAGGUGCGAAAGUGUGGGGAGCAAACAGGAUUAGAUACCCUGGUAGUCCACACCGUAAACGAUGAAUGCCAGUCGUCGGGCAGUAU